GUUCGACAGCCAUCUUUCUGUAUUCGCUCUAUCAAGUGACGAAAUAAACGUCGUUUCGAUCCUAAAAACAACAGCUGCUUGAAGAAGGCGAUCAAUUCUGUAAUGGCGUCAGGCAGUGCCCUGGGAUCAGCCUAUUGAGGAAGGACCACC